UGGUGGCGAGUGGCGAACGGGUGAGUAAUACAUCGGAACCGUACCCUGAAGGUGGGGGAUAACGUAGCGAAAGUUACGCUAAUACCGCAUAUUCUGUGAGCAGGAAAGAGGGGGAUCGCAAGACCUCUUGCUUUAGGAGCGGCCGAUGUCGGAUUAGCUAGUUGGUGAGGUAAAGGCUCACCAAGGCGACGAUCCGUAGCGGGUCUGAGAGGAUGAUCCGCCACACUGGGACUGAGACACGGCCCAGACUCCUACGGGAGGCAGCAGUGGGGAAUUUUGGACAAUGGGCGCAAGCCUGAUCCAGCCAUGCCGCGUGAGUGAAGAAGGCCUUCGGGUUGUAAAGCUCUUUCGGUGGGAAGAAAUUGCUUCGGUUAAUACCUGGAGUAGAUGACGGUACCCGCAUAAGAAGCACCGGCUAACUACGUG
rnacentral:rRNA from 1 species